ACUUCGGGAAACCGGAGCUAAUACCGGAUAACAUAUUGAACCGCAUGGUUCAAUAGUGAAAGGCGGCUUUGCUGUCACUUAUAGAUGGAUCCGCGCCGUAUUAGCUAGUUGGUAAGGUAACGGCUUACCAAGGCAACGAUACGUAGCCGACCUGAGAGGGUGAUCGGCCACACUGGAACUGAGACACGGUCCAGACUCCUACGGGAGGCAGCAGUAGGGAAUCUUCCGCAAUGGGCGAAAGCCUGACGGAGCAACGCCGCGUGAGUGAUGAAGGUCUUCGGAUCGUAAAACUCUGUUAUCAGGGAAGAACAAAUGUGUAAGUAACUGUGCACAUCUUGACGGUACCUGAUCAGAAAGCCACGGCUAACUACGUGCCAGCAGCCGCGGUAAUACGUAGGUGGCAAGCGUUAUCCGGAAUUAUUGGGCGUAAAGCGCGCGUAGGCGGUUUUUUAAGUCUGAUGUGAAAGCCCACGGCUCAACCGUGGAGGGUCAUUGGAAACUGGAAAACUUGAGUGCAGAAGAGGAAAGUGGAAUUCCAUGUGUAGCGGUGAAAUGC
rnacentral:rRNA from 1 species